rnacentral:misc_RNA from 1 species
AAGUCGUAACAAGGUUUCCGUAGGUGAACCUGCGGAAGGAUCAUUACUGUUAAAUCUCUAUAAACACCAGAAGGUCAAACUUCUGUGUUUGCAAACAAAAAAACACCCUUUAAAAUAGCUUUUAAGUGUCUGAUUUAAACUAGUUAAUACAAAAACAACUUUCAACAACGGAUCUCUUGGCUCUU